CCCUUAGAUGUUCUGGGCCGCACGCGCGCUACACUGACGAAUGCAACGAGCUUAUAACCUUGGCCGAAAGGUCUGGGUAAUCUCCAAAUUUCGUCGUGAUGGGGAUAGAUUAUUGCAAUUAUUAAUCUUCAACGAGGAAUGCCUAGUAAGCGCAAGUCAUCAGCUUGCGUUGAUUACGUCCCUGCCCUUUGUACACACCGCCCGUCGCUCCUACCGAUUGAAUGGUCCGGUGAAGCGCUCGGACCGCGGCCUCUUGACGGUUUUCCGUCGAUUGGCUGUGGGAAGUUCGUUAAACCUUAUCAUUUAGAGGAAGGAGAAGUCGUANCA
rnacentral:rRNA from 1 species